UUUUUUUCUCCUGACGUCAUCGAUCCAAAAUCAGCUAGCUGAAUUCCUCAGUCUGGAAACAACCGCGCAGUAGGGAGGACGUAUGGGAAUCGCGCUCUGUGGAUUUCGAGUACCGGGUUCUCUAUCUCAUGGAUCCUGCGCUCCGGGUCCGCUACCUAGCAAAACUAGACUUCCAGGACAAGCGCUCCGUGGUUCCUGCGCUCCAGGUCUACUACCUGGUGAAACUCGACUUCUGGGCAAGCGUUCCGUAGUUUUUGCACUCAAGAAACGUCAUGUUCUGUACUAUCAAACCAAUGUUAAAACAAUGGUUAGCGAUAGUUGAAGGUGAUCAAGGUGGACGCGGAGGAGGAAGAGGAGGAGGAAGACGAGGAAGACGAGGAAAACAAGGUGAACAAGGAGGAUGAGGAUUUACGCACGGUAUGACCCGAGGUGGUAAUCGGGGGUUGUCGGAGGUGGUUGGCGGUGGUUGGAAGCGGUCGUAGGUGGACGAGGAGAAGGAUGAGGAAGAUAAGGCGAACAAGGUG
rnacentral:lncRNA from 1 species